UACGGAGGGAGCUAGCGUUGUUCGGAAUUACUGGGCGUAAAGCGCGCGUAGGCGGCUUUGUAAGUUAGAGGUGAAAGCCCGGGGCUCAACCCCGGAAUUGCCUUUAAGACUGCAUCGCUAGAAUCCAGGAGAGGUGAGUGGAAUUCCGAGUGUAGAGGUGAAAUUCGAUAGAUAUUCGGAAGAACACCAGUGGCGAAGGCGGCUCACUGGACUGGUAUUGACGCUGAGGUGCGAAAGCGUGGGGAGCAAAGCAGGG
rnacentral:rRNA from 1 species